AUUGAACGCUGGCGGCAUGCUUUACACAUGCGAGUCGAACGGUAACAGGCCGCAAGGUGCUGACGAGUGGCGCACGGGUGCGUAAUGCAUCGGAACGUGCCCAGUCGUGGGGGAUAACUACUCGAAAGAGUAGCUAAUACCGCAUACGAUCUAUGGAUGAAAGCGGGGGACCGUAAGGCCUCGCGCGAUUGGAGCGGCCGCUGUCAGAUUAGGUAGUUGGUGGGGUAAAGGCUCACCAAGCCAACGAUCUGUAGCUGGUCUGAGAGGACAACCAGCCACACUGGAACUGAGACACGGCCCAGACUCCUACGGGAGGCAGCAGUGGGGAAUUUUGGACAAUGGGCGCAAGCCUGAUCCAGCAAUGCCGCGUGCAGGAAGAAGGCCUUCGGGUUGUAAAAUGCUUUUGUACGGAACGAAACGGCUCUGGUUAAUACCCGGGGCUAAUGACGGUACCGUAAGAAUAAGCACCGGCUAACUACGUG
rnacentral:rRNA from 1 species